AGUAAAUAGAUACCCAGGUAGUCCACGCCGUAAACGAUGUCUGCUAGCCGUUGGGAUCCUUGAGGUCUCGGUGGCGCAGCUAACGCGAUAAGCAGACCGCCUGGGGAGUACGGCCGCAAGGUUAAAACUCAAAUGAAUUGACGGGGGCCGCACAAGCGGUGGAGCAUGUGGUUUAAUUCGAUGCAACGCGAAGAACCUUACCAGGUCUUGACAUCCAGAGAACUUUCCAGAGAUGGAUUGGUGCCUUCGGGAACUCUGAGACAGGUGCUGCAUGGCUGUCGUCAGCUCGUGUCGUGAGAUGUUGGGUUUAAGUCCCGUAACGAGCGCAACCCUUGUCCUUAGUUGCCAGCGGUUCGGCCGGGCACUCUAGGGAGACUGCCGGUGACAAACCGGAGGAAGUGGGGACGACGUCAAGUCAUCAUGGCCCUUACGACCUGGGCUACACACGUGCUACAAUGGCCGGUACAGA
rnacentral:rRNA from 1 species